GGAUGUAGCUCAGUGGUAAAGCACUUGACUAGCAUGCAUAGAACCUUGGGUUCAAUCCCCAGCACUG
rnacentral:tRNA from 1 species